UUUGGUUUUCUAUGAAUCUGCACCCAUCGAUACAUCAGUGGCGAGUCCCACCGGUCAACAAACACAUUCAGCAUUCCGCUAGAAGAGCCGCGAAGGCGGGCUAAUAUGGACGCGCACCGUUUUUUCAUAACAGCAUAAAGGUCAUCCGUAUGCGCCUCCGCAAACAUGCCUGAGGCACUGCACUGCCGCGGCAGCCCCAUCAGAACCCUGAAUGCGUUGUUAUACUGAACCCGUAGAUCGCUUUAUGCCCGCUGCGUGUAGUCAUCUCAAAGACUGCAGGUGUAAAAUGACUGACAGUAUGCUUUAAAAAGCGUUAAUUUGACUGACUUCGUACACCUUGCAAAUCUCCGAGAUAACAUGUUGCAUUGGACAGACAGCGACCUAAGAUCCCUCUCAACAUCACAGUCAUCCUUUAAAUUGUCGAUAUAUCAUCAGCAUCAAUUAUUCAGAACCCCGAGCUUUCAGCAUCUCCGUACUACUUACGAACACCCAGUGCUGCGCGUAAAUUUUAAACUUUUUCCGAUUUCAGUCAGGUUACUAAGUGCUCGCACAACUUAAAUAUUAUUAACUUAUACUUUAUUUAUAUAAAGAAUUUCCGAGAGUAACAAAUUUUAACACAAACACAAUAUUUUAUAACUAACAUAACAAAAUGGUAUAUAGGUAUAGUACAUAAAUAAUGUAAUGUAAUAAUAAUAUAUUAAACUGUAAACAAAAAUUAGAAUCAGUGCAUUUUCACACUGAAAUGAAUGUGUGAAAAUUAUACACCUUUUGAAAACAGUUGCACAUGUGGUAAAAAAGCAGAUUAUAAAUGCGACGAAAAGAAAAAUUAAAAAAAAAGAAAAGGUAAAGGGAAAAAGACGUGGAAAAUAUAUUCAGCCAACUUACAACGUCUAGCUAUGGCUAUCUGAGACGGUUGUAUUUUUCGAAUAACAUGGCCACUUGCUAAAUUUAUUUUAAAUGUUAAUUAUUAUAAUUCUAAUAACUCAAUGGUGACUAUAGUCUUUAUAAUGAAUGUUGAUUACUAAAGGUUUCAUUACAAAAUUUGUAUUUUCAUUUUUUUUGUACUAUAUCAAAUUCUACCUACAUAAAACUACAGCAAUAUAGCCCUGAAUUACUGUACACUUUAUUUACAUAAAGAAUUACAUAAAACCAAGGAUAAUAUAUUUUAAUACCAACACGAAUAUAUCAUAAAAGCUUACAAUGCUUCAUCAGUCCACGUAACACAAUAUGAUACUGUUCGUAACAAUAUGAAGCUUAAAGCUUUAUCAGCGAAAAAUAUGUUCAAAUAAACCAUAGCUUAUACGCUGUAAAAUUUAAACAAGUUAGGGCUGAAAGAGUAACCAGUUUUUUCGAGUAAGUCAUGCAGAUACGAGUGCAACUAACGAGAUGUGCAUAUCGAAUACGUGACGAACGAUCGCAGCUAAUAGUGUUAGCGUUUGUGAAAAUGGAUGCAGGUCGACGACCGCUCGUCGUCUAUCAGUAUGAUCACAAUAAUGUAAUUGGGAAACAUUUUAAUAAAACGUGUGUAUCAUCAUAUCAUACUAUUAUUAUAAAUAACUCUUAAAAUAUCAAAAUUGUCUAAGCUUUUCCUUGAAUUUAUUUAAAGGCUCAGAAAUAACAAAAACAGUGUUAGAAGUAAAAUGACGGUGUAAGAAUAUAUUUUUCUGUGAAUACAUUUAUUUAUUGUUAUAAUUUUUAACAUUUAAUAUUGAAACCUACAUGACCAUUUUUUGUAGAUAAACCAUCUGUCGUCAUUGUGUUAUUAAUUAGUUCUAAUUUUACCUCACUAACGAGCGAACAUUGUUCUGUAAUGUAUUAUUCGCAACGUAUCGCAUCGCUCCGCAUCGUGUCGCACCGCUUACCGAGAACAAUGUUUAAUUGUCGUACCUCCCAAACUUGAACACUAAUUAUAGUUCAAAUUUAGCUCCAACACGACGCCAUAGGCAUUGCCACUUAAAAUAUGUUUUAAUAAUCAUAAUUAUAAACAAUAAAUAAAUA
rnacentral:misc_RNA from 1 species